rnacentral:lncRNA from 1 species
UAACUAAACUGACAAGAGAGUGUUUAACUGACUCUUUUGAUAGUUAGAAAGAUGGUUCCAAUGGAGUAGGUAACAGGUCAAGGAUGUGAGGGACUUUUCCCCAGGUUUUUCUCUCUUUAAACAAUUGCACUUGAUUGAUGGUUUCCUGGACUCUUGAAUAGUGGCUAAACUGCCACUACACACACAUCCAUUCAAGAUCUCUGGUUGUGUGCUUUAAAAACACCUGUUCCUUCAAUGGUGGUGGAUAGCUUUCUUUAUUAUGAAUCUCUUGGAACUGACCUAGGUUUGACAAUAAAACAGUAUCAGCUUGAUAAAUGGCAUAGUUACUUGGUUGUAUCACUGAAUUGGUCUAUUUUUCAAGAAAUGCACAUGUGGAAACUUUCCAGAGUCUUUCAUCUCUGAGGUGUGUAUGUAUGUACAUGUUCAUGUGUGUACAAAUGUGCAGUCUAAGUAAAGAAAGAGAUGGAGAGACU